ensembl:lncRNA
GGAGAGCCCCAUGGACAGAGGAGCCAGGCAUGCUACAGGCUACGGGGUCGCAAGAGUUGGACACGACUUAGCAACUAAACCACCAACCAUCACCACCAGCUGAAUGAUGCCAUGGAGACGGGCCUGGUGUCCAGGAAGUAGAGAUCCCAGCGGUCUGUCCCGGAGUGCCUUAUGACUCUGGAGCCAGGGUUGUGGGUGACGCUGCAGUGGAGCCUCCACACAACAGCCCCUGCGUCAUCUGUGCAUAAGAUGGUAUCUGUUCGUAGGACUUCCUGGUUCUAAGAGCUGACAUUGCUUAAAUCCAAUGGGUUUGGCGCAUGCUAAGUCACUUCGGUCGUGUCCAACUCUUUGCCACCCCAUGAACUAUAAC